GCUUGUCUCAAAGAUUAAGCCAUGCAUGUCUAAGUAUAAACGAUUUUAUACGUGAAACUGCGAAUGGCUCAUUAUAUCAGUUAUAGUUUAUUUGAUGGUCUUACUACUUGGAUAACCGUAGUAAUUCUAGAGCUAAUACAUGCACAAAUUCCCGUCAGGGAUGUAUUUAUUAGAUUGAAACCGAUGCGGGGUAACCCGGAUUUUGGUGAUUCAUAAUAACUUUCGGAGCGAGUAAUCGCUGCAUCAUUCAAGUUUCUGCCCUAUCAGCUUUGGAUGGUAGGGUAUUGGCCUACCAUGGCUUUAACGGGUAACGGAGAAUUAGGGUUCGAUUCCGGAGAGGGAGCCUGAGAAAUGGCUACCACAUCCAAGGAAGGCAGCAGG
rnacentral:rRNA from 1 species